rnacentral:rRNA from 1 species
AUUGAACGCUGGCGGCAGGCCUAACACAUGCAAGUCGAACGAGUGGCGGACGGGUGAGUAAUGUCUGGGAAACUGCCCGAUGGAGGGGGAUAACUACUGGAAACGGUAGCUAAUACCGCAUACCCUCGGAUGUGCCCAGAUGGGAUUAGCUAGUAGGUGGGGUAACGGCUCACCUGGGCGACGAUCCCUAGCUGGUCUGAGAGGAUGACCAGCAAAACUGGACCGGGGAAACGGCCCAGACUCUUCCGGGAGGCAGCAGUGGGGAAUAUUGGAAAAUGGGGGCAAGCCUGAUGCAGCCAUGCCGCGUGUAUGAAGAAGGCCUUCGGGUGGUAAAGUACGUUCAGCGGGGAGGCGUUACUCGCAGAAGAAGCACCGGCUAACUACGUGCCAGCAGCCGCGGUAAUUC